UACGGAGGGGGCUAGCGUUGUUCGGAAUUACUGGGCGUAAAGCGCACGUAGGCGGCUUUGUAAGUUAGAGGUGAAAGCCCGGAGCUCAACUCCGGAAUUGCCUUUAAGACUGCAUCGCUAGAACGUCGGAGAGGUGAGUGGAAUUCCGAGUGUAGAGGUGAAAUUCGUAGAUAUUCGGAAGAACACCAGUGGCGAAGGCGACUCACUGGACGACUGUUGACGCUGAGGUGCGAAAGCGUGGGGAGCAAACAGG
rnacentral:rRNA from 2 species